UACGUAGGUGGCAAGCGUUGUCCGGAUUUACUGGGCGUAAAGGGCGUGCAGGCGGUUUGUUAAGUGCAGGGUGAAAGCUCCCGGCUCAACUGGGGAGGGUCACGCGAUACUGAUCGACUCGAAGGCAGGAGAGGGAAGUGGAAUUCCCGGUGUAGUGGUGAAAUGCGUAGAUAGUCGGAGAACGACGGUGCGAAAGCGACUCUCUGGACGGCAACUGACGCUGAGGCACGAAAGCGUGGGGAGCAAACAGG
rnacentral:rRNA from 1 species